CCGUUGCCGGCGACCGGCGCACGGGUGAGUAACACGUAUGCAACCUGCCCGUGGCAGGGGGAUAAGCGGGGGAAACUCCGUCUAAUACCGCGUAACGCGGCCUAGGGACAUCCCAAGGCCGCCAAAGGGAGCAAUCCCGGCCACGGAUGGGCAUGCGGCGCAUUAGCUAGUCGGCGGGGUAACGGCCCACCGAGGCGACGAUGCGUAGGGGUUCUGAGAGGAAGGCCCCCCACACUGGUACUGAGACACGGACCAGACUCCUACGGGAGGCAGCAG
rnacentral:rRNA from 1 species